rnacentral:rRNA from 1 species
AGCGAACAUUGGCGGUAGGCUUAACACAUGCAAGUCGAGCGAGGUUUAGAACCGAGCGGCGAACGGGUGAGUAAAACUUGGGAAUCUACCCUGAAGUGGGGGAUAACGUUCAGAAAUGAACGCUAAUACCGCAUAAUCCACAUUGGGAAAGCGCGCUGCGCUUUAGGAUGAGCCCAAGCCUGAUUAGCUAGUUGGUGGGGUAACGGCCCACCAAGGCGACGAUCAGUAGCUGGUCUGAGAGGAUGAUCAGCCACACUGGAACUGAGACACAGUCCAGACUCCUACGGGAGGCAGCAGUGGGGAAUCUUGCGCAAUGGGGGCAACCCUGACGCAGCCAUACCGCGUGUGUGAUGAAGGUCUUCGGAUUGUAAAGCACUUUCAGUGGGGACGACAAUGACGGUACCCGCAGAAGAAGUCACGGCUAACUUCGUGCCAGCCGCCGCAGUAA